rnacentral:rRNA from 1 species
UCCUGACUGACCGAUAGUGAACCAGUACCGUGAGGGAAAGGCGAAAAGAACCCCGGCGAGGGGAGUGAAAAAGAACCUGAAACCGUGUACGUACAAGCAGUGGGAGCACGCUUAGGCGUGUGACUGCGUACCUUUUGUAUAAUGGGUCAGCGACUUAUAUUCUGUAGCAAGGUUAACCGAAUAGGGGAGCCGAAGGGAAACCGAGUCUUAACUGGGCGUUAAGUUGCAGGGUAUAGACCCGAAACCCGGUGAUCUAGCCAUGGGCAGGUUGAAGGUUGGGUAACACUAACUGGAGGACCGAACCGACUAAUGUUGAAAAAUUAGCGGAUGACUUGUGGCUGGGGGUGAAAGGCCAAUCAAACCGGGAGAUAGCUGGUUCUCCCCGAAAGCUAUUUAGGUAGCGCCUCGUGAAUUCAUCUCCGGGGGUAGAGCACUGUUUCGGCAAGGGGGUCAUCCCGACUUACCAACCCGAUGCAAACUGCGAAUACCGGAGAAUGUUAUCACGGGAGACACACGGCGGGUGCUAACGUCCGUCGUGAAGAGGGAAACAACCCAGACCGCCAGCUAAGGUCCCAAAGUCAUGGUUAAGUGGGAAACGAUGUGGGAAGGCCCAGACAGCCAGGAUGUUGGCUUAGAAGCAGCCAUCAUUUAAAGAAAGCGUAAUAGCUCACUGGUCGAGUCGGCCUGCGCGGAAGAUGUAACGGGGCUAAACCAUGCACCGAAGCUGCGGCAGCGACGCUUAUGCGU